UCUUCCAGUGGGUACUCCUUACUACAUGUCACCAGAGAGGAUACACGAAAAUGGCUACAACUUCAAAUCUGACAUCUGGUCACUAGGAUGCCUGCUCUAUGAGAUGGCAGCCCUACAGAGUCCGUUCUAUGGGGAUAAGAUGAACCUCUACUCGCUUUGUAAGAAGAUAGAACAAUGUGACUACCCCCCUCUUCCCUCAGAUCACUACUCAGAGGAGCUGAGGAACUUGGUAGAUAUGUGCAUCAACCCCGACCCGGAGAAGAGGCCGGACAUCACCUACGUGUACGACAUUGCCAAACACAUGCAGAACAUGACACAGGGCAGUUAAGCCCAGAGUUACACACACUAUGCCUUGCAGAACUCCUCCCAACAUCCCCUCUUGCUUUUCAUGCUGGACUCGUAAUAAACCUUACAGCUUAUUUUCAGAGCACAGCUCUGGAGUAAGUAGUACAUGUACAUGUAACAGAUUUUUAUUGUCAUGGAGAUGGUAUAGUCACUAACAUGACUGACACCCAAACCUUUUCUGCCCUAGGAUAAAGAUUAUAGAGAUGAUACUUUUUGUCCAUGGAUCUCCCAUUCCUUAAACUUCAGUAAUGUUAUUAUUACACUGAAAAUCAGUGUAUUGUAGCUCACUGAUGUGUUGCUUUGGCUUUAAAAAGCAUGUCAUUUUUUCAUGUAGUGAUGUAAAGCUGUCCUUCAGCAGCUGCUACUAGCAGAUAUACUGAUAGAAAGCAGGUAUACUGGAAACAGGUAAAAUUUGGAAAAUUGUAACGUUCAGUGUUUUUUAGUUAAACCGUUAAUCGUUGCAACUAAGACGAAAUAUCACCUUGUAGGCUUAUGGUGUGUCAAAUUAGACCUGUAGUUAUCAAAUGGCACAGGGAAAGACCAUGCAACAUUUCAGCUAAAAUUGGAGUGAAAAGACUUUCACUCAAUGACAGCAAAUCUGAGACGCAACAGAGUGUAACUGAUGGUUGAAGUGUUGUUGUGUUGCACUUUUUACCCUGGUACUGGAAGGCUAGCAGGGUGAUCAUGUCUAAUGAAUGUAUGAGGAAAGGAAGGAACAUAGUAGAUGGUAGACUAGAGACGUGCUAGGGGGAGAACAUGGGCAAAUGUCUCCACAACACUUGGAAUGUAAGUCAUUUUGGCACCUAUGUGUUGUCUUUGAAAAAUUCAGAAUGCAUCUUUUUUGACAGCCUAGAAGGCAUGGGAGCUGUAACAAAAGCAGUUUUACAUUCUCUGUUUACCUUAGUCACUGACACCAAAAUAUUUCCUCCUUAGUUCAACUUAGACAAAGUAUACUGUUGUUGCAUAAUGUGAGGUUUUGUAGCGCCGGUAAAAAUCACAUAAAUCAAAGUCGAACCACAUUGUUCUCCAUCGUGGUUCAAUGGAUGCAUCUGACCCACUAGAAAUGUGGUCAAACUAGACAAAAUGGUUUUAUAACGGUGUGUUAAUAAGCCAUUUACAAUGCAUUACCAAAUGGUUCGUUUGAUAUUUAAAGCCCUUAAAAGAUGUUAGAUAACAUCAAUAGGUUGCACACAAAUCAUUUAGAAAUGUGGUAAUAAACCAUUUACAAUGUAUUACCAAGUAGUGCUGUAAAUGUGGAAUUUAUGCAUAACACAUGUUUAUGAGUGGUAAACCUACCAUCAGAACAGUAAAAAGACAUAAACUUGUGAACAUAGAAGGGAUUAUUUACAAAAGCAAUAAUGGUCUGUGUAUUAACAGUAAAAUGAUCAACAACUGAUGCAUUUAUUACAUCUAUUUUAUCAGUUUGAUAAAUGAAAACAAUCUAACAAUUGAACUUUCAUUUAUCCAUCUAGAUAUUUAGAUAUGUAUGUAUAGAUAUUUAGACAUAGAUAUAUAGAUUUAGAGAGAUGGAUAUAAACGGAUACAUAGGCAGUAUUUACAGACUUAAGAUCAGAAAUUGUCUAUAUAUUUAAACCUGUAGUCUUGUGUCCACUAUUUUGUGAUAAAGAAUGCUACAUUUUCAAGUUUUAUACAUUGUAUUGUUACUUAGAUUACUUUUACACCGAGAGUAUAUGCAGUACUUGCUUUCAAAUAUAGAGCUGCAGAAUACCUCAAGCUGAUAAAUGAGGUGUAGUAAAUGAAUCGAUUCAGCAUUUACAACAUUUUUCAAGUGUCUUACAAACAUAAGUAAUCUACUCAUGUUAUAUAAUUGCUUUUAAGGGUUUAUCAUGUAAAUGUAACCGUUGUAUAAAUGAUUUAUUAACAUGCCUUAUUAUAAAGCCUUACCACCAAGAAUUUGUUCAUGUUGCUGUGCAAAUUGCAGUUUGUGUGUUUUUAAGAAACAAACAUCAGACAAUAGAUCCUUUCCUUAUGCAGCCAUCUAUGCUAGGUAACCAGAGUGUGCCUAACUUAUGUCCUCAGCUGAGAGGAAAUAAGACAAAAAUCAACAUCCAGAGCAACUUAUAUAUACAAUGUAUGACAAGUAUAUCAAAGACUUGGUCUAAAAAAGAAAAGGAAAAAAAUAUCAGCCGGACUAAUUUAGUUUUACUGUGCAUAGCGAAGAAUAAAACCCUCCCUGAAUGAAUAAAGGGUUUGAGUGACCUGUUGUGCAUUCAGAAGGGUUUUUGUUUGUUUGUUUGUUUGUUUUUUGUUUUUACAGUGAAUAGGUUUACACCAGUGGGUCACAAGUGAUCAGCGCUGACUACCGCUGGUUUACAUAAUAACAAUGACACACCAUCGAAGGUUUAGUAGGUGAAAAAUGAUUGGUUUCUUUCACUGUCUUAUGAAUUCUCUUUUAACAUUGUCAAAUAGCCUGUUAGCCCUUCAUUGAAAUUGUAUGCCCACUGUUUUUACAGAUUUCCUUUCUUUUUUAAUUAACAUUUGAUGCUAUUAACAUGUUAUAUACAACAUCAAAGCUUAUACAGUCAAGCCUGAAGUUACUCACACCUCUAAGCAAAUUUCAACUUAAAGUUACCUUUAAAAUGUAAAUUAAAGCUAAGAAAUUAUUUUUUCCACAAUGAUGCCUCAUGUACAUCAUCUUAUUGUCUUUUGGGAAACACCUGUGUCAUUUCCAAUCACAUAAAAACUUGCUGGUUGAAUAAAAGUAACUUUAAGCCAACAUUUGUGGGGAGUAUGAAUAAUUUCAGGCUUGACUGUAGGUGCAGGAAAAUGUAAGUUAUUUUGUUUUGGUUAACAGAAUAUUUUGAUAGUAUGUUGGUAGCUAUUUGUCAGAGACUUACAGAGACAGUGUUGGCAAUUUUAGUUAGUAAUCGUACACCUUGUCCUAGAUUUACUUUGUUUCUCUUGCUUUUCAUUCCCACAGUGACAGAACAUUUUUCCCCCAUUUUAGUAACUCUUAAUUUUUCAUCAUCUUCGCCCCCAGUAGUUAAACUUCUAUCUUUAUGCUCUCUGAAUGACAACAUCUGUAUAGCACCAAAACGUUUCAGUAUUUUGUUGUAUUUACAGUGAAGCAAUUGCUUUAAAGCACUUUUUAGAUAUUUUAGUUUUGAUGCUAUACAGAAUUCCCUGCUAGUUACAAGCAGAAAAAUACCAAAAAUAGAUUCUUAAAUGGUUUAAGGGAAACAGAUUCUAAUGUUUCAGACUUUCUUUUAAGCAUAUUUAAAUAUAGCACAUGAUGCAGUGAUAAUGGCUGUAUAAUGCAUUCACAUCAUGGCCUUUCGCAACACCAAAGUACCACAGUUACAAGGAAUAUGGCUGGAUCUGUGCAGGAAUGGUUGUGUUUUCUGGUUUUUGACAGAAGUGUAGAUCCUCACUCGGGGGUUGUUUAUUACACACAAGUGCUACGUCACUUUAACAAAUAUGACUCUUGAUUUUAUUUUUUUUCCGUUGUAUGACAGUGCUCCAGUGUGUCCCAGCCCUUCUAGCUUAGCCCAGUUUGCUUUUAUGCAUGCCCUUUGAAAUUGGUAUCAGAGUCCAGGUGUUGUCCAGAAAGUAAAAUAUUGGCAAGUCAUAUUUAUUGUCUUGGUAGUUUAGCUGUUGUCUGAACAUUUCAUGUCAAAGUAAAUACCCACAUCACAAACACCUUGUAUGCAAACUAAAUGUAAUAAAGCUUUGAAAUUUC